CAAUAGCGUAUAUUUAAGUUGCUGCGGUUAAAAAGCUCGUAGUUGGAUUUCGGGUGGGAAUGGCCGGUCCGCCGUUUCGGUGUGCACUUGCUACGCCAACCUUGCUGCCGGGGACGUGCUCUUGAGUUCACGCUCGGGACACGGAGUCGGCGAGGUUACUUUGAGUAAAUUAGAGUGUUCAAAGCAGGCCUACGCUCUGAAUACAUUAGCAUGGAAUAACACGAUAGGACUCUGGCCUAUCUUGUUGGUCUGUAGGACCGGAGUAAUGAUUAAGAGGGACAGUCGGGGGCAUUCGUAUUUCAUUGUCAGAGGUGAAAUUCUUGGAUUUAUGAAAGACGAACUACUGCGAAAGCAUUUGCCAAGGAUGUUUUCAUUAA
rnacentral:rRNA from 1 species